UAACAGGAUUCCCUUAGUAACUGCGAGUGAAGUGGGAAGAGCUCAAAUUUGAAAUCUGGCAGUCUCCUUUUUUCUUCUUUGGCUGUCCGAAUUGUAACCUAGAGAAGUGCGUACCUGUGCUGGACCGUGUAUAAGUCUCCUGGAAUGGAGCGUCAUAGAAGGUGAGAAUCCUGUCUUUGACAUGGACUCCCAGUGCGUUGUGGUGUGCUCUCAAAGAGUCGAGUUGUUUGGGAAUGCAGCUCUAAAUGGGUGGUAAACUCCAUCUAAAGCUAAAUAUGGGCGAGAGACCGAUAGUGAACAAGUACCGUGAGGGAAAGAUGAAAAGCACUUUGGAAAGAGAGUUAAAAAGUAUGUGAAAUUGUUGAAAGGGAAACGCUUGAGGUCAGCUGUGUCAGGCAGGGAUCAACCUGGCAUUUUUUGCUGGGUGAAUUUCCUACACUGGCAGGCCAACAUCAGUUUUGACUGGCAGAAAAGGGCAGAGGGAAUGUGGCACUCUCGAGUGUGUUAUAGCCUUCUGUCAGAUGUGGCAGUUGGGACUGAGGAUUGAAGCGCGCUGUAAAAGCUGGGUUUCGACCACAUUCGCGCUUAGGAUGUUGGCUUCAUAAUGGCUUCAAUUGACCCGUCUGAAAAACACGGGGUAUGACGGGAC
rnacentral:rRNA from 1 species